CAGCCGCCGCGGUAAUACGGGGGGAGCAAGCGUUGUUCGGAUUUACUGGGCGUAAAGGGCGCGUAGGCGGCGCAACAAGUCACUUGUGAAAUCUCCGGGCUUAACCCGGAGCGGCCAAGUGAUACUGUCGUGCUAGAGUGCGGAAGGGGCUACUGGAAUUCUCGGUGUAGCGGUGAAAUGCGUAGAUAUCGAGAGGAACACCUGCGGCGAAGGCGGGUAGCUGGGCCGACACUGGCGCUGAGGCGCGAAAGCCAGGGGAGCGAACGGGAUUAGAUACCCCGGUAGUCCUGGCCUUAAACGAUGGAUACUUGGUGUCCGGGGUUACAUAGUCCCCGGGUGCCGGCGCUAACGCAUUAAGUAUCCCGCCUGGGGAGUACGGUCGCAAGACUGAAACUCAAAGGAAUUGACGG
rnacentral:rRNA from 1 species